CCCCCGGCUACAUUAGGUUGGCUUGUUCUCCUGCUCCGUUUGGCAGUGCAUGGAGCUGAGACGCGGAUAUAACCUGCCUACGCCAUUCCGUAGCUUCCCAACGAGGCAAAAUACUUAUUCAUCACAGAGUGGGAACGCUACCCCUGGUCUCCCACCUCGCAAAAAAGGCCUUCUGGGAAAGCGGGAUGCCCUGCUACAAAGCGAUGUCAGCCUGCCUGAAAGAUGGAAAGCGACAGAGCACCUACGUUGGACCCAUAUCGCUUUCUCAAUGUGCUCUCUGGGAUGAAGCAUCACACAAUAAAAUAACCCAUCCAUC